rnacentral:rRNA from 1 species
GAAAGAUGAAAAGCACCUUGAAAAGAGGGUUAAAUAGUACGUGAAAUUGUUGAAAGGGAAGCGCUUGUGACCAGACUUGGGCGCGGCGGAUCAUCCGGGGUUCUCCCCGGUGCACUUCGCCGCGUCCAGGCCAGCAUCAGUUCGUCGCGGGGGAAAAAGGCUUCGGGAACGUGGCUCCCUCGGGAGUGUUAUAGCCCGUUGCGUAAUACCCUGCGGUGGACUGAGGACCGCGCAUCUGCAAGGAUGCUGGCGUAAUGGUCACCAGCGACCCGUCUUGAAACACGGACCAAGAA